AACGAACGCUGGCGGCAUGCCUAACACAUGCAAGUCGAACGAGACCUUCGGGUCUAGUGGCGCACGGGUGCGUAACGCGUGGGAACCUGCCCUUAGGUUCGGAAUAACUCCCCGAAAGGGGUGCUAAUACCGGAUAAUGUCUUCGGACCAAAGAUUUAUCGCCUUUGGAUGGGCCCGCGUUGGAUUAGCUAGUUGGUAGGGUAAAAGCCUACCAAGGCGACGAUCCAUAGCUGGUCUGAGAGGAUGAUCAGCCACACUGGGACUGAGACACGGCCCAGACUCCUACGGGAGGCAGCAGUGGGGAAUAUUGGAAAAUGGGCGAAAGCCUGAUCCAGCAAGGCCGCGUGAGUGAUGAAGGCCUUAGGGUUGUAAAGCUCUUUUACCCGGGAUGAUAAUGACAGUACCGGGAGAAGAAGCUCCGGCUAACUCCGU
rnacentral:rRNA from 1 species